UACGUAGGGGGCAAGCGUUGUCCGGAUUUAUUGGGUGUAAAGAGCGUGUAGGCGGCUGGGUAGGUCCGUUGUGAAAACUCGAGGCUCAACCUCGAGACGCCGAUGGAAACCCUCCAGCUAGAGUCCGGAAGAGGAGAGUGGAAUUCCUGGUGUAGCGGUGAAAUGCGCAGAUAUCAGGAAGAACACCCGUGGCUAAGGCGGCUCUCUAGUACGGUACUGACGCUGAGACGCGAAAGCGUGGGGAGCGAACAGG
rnacentral:rRNA from 1 species